rnacentral:misc_RNA from 1 species
UCUCCGUCGGUGAACCAGCGGAGGGAGCAUUAACGGACUCGCAAGACUCCUUCACCCUGUGAACCUCACUACAAGCACGUUGCUUCGGCGGGUGUCCCGGCGGGGGUUUUCCCUCGCCGGGGCGCACAGCCCGCCGGCAGCCUACUAUUCUCUGUCUCUGUGCGUUGGCAUCUCGAGAAAAAACGAACAAGUUAAAACUUUCAACAACGGAUCUCUUGGUUCUG